UACGAAGGGGGCUAGCGUUGCUCGGAAUGACUGGGCGUAAAGGGCGCGUAGGCGGCUGGUCAAGUCAGGCGUGAAAUUCCUGGGCUCAACCUGGGGACUGCGCUUGAUACGGCUGUGCUUGAGGAUGGAAGAGGCUCGCGGAAUUCCCAGUGUAGAGGUGAAAUUCGUAGAUAUUGGGAAGAACACCGGUGGCGAAGGCGGCGAGCUGGUCCAUUACUGACGCUGAGGCGCGACAGCGUGGGGAGCAAACAGG
rnacentral:rRNA from 1 species